rnacentral:rRNA from 1 species
UACGAGGGGGGCAAGCGUUGUUCGGAAUUAUUGGGCGUAAAGGGUGCGUAGGCGGUCUGACAAGUCUGAUGUGAAAUCUAUGGGCUCAACCCAUAGUCUGCAUCGGAAACUGUCGGGCUAGAGUCCGGAAGGGGCGAGUGGAAUUCCUGGUGUAGCGGUGAAAUGCGCAGAUAUCAGGAGGAACACCGAUGGCGAAGGCAGCUCGCUGGGACGUGACUGACGCUGAGACGCGAAAGCGUGGGGAGCAAACAGG